GGUCAUGUAGAUCACAAGGCGCAUGAUGAUCACAAGGGUCAUGAGGAUCAUAAGGGACAUGAUGAUCAUAAGGGACGUGAUGAUCAUAAAGGUCAGGAUGUUCAUAAAGGACAUGAUGAUCAUAAGGGACAGAAUGUUCAUAAAGGACAUGAUGAGCAUAAGGGUCAUGAUGUUCAAAAGGGUCAUACUGAUCAUAAAAUUCAUGAUGAUCACAAGGGUCAUACUGAUCAUAAAGUUCAUGAUGAUCACAAGGGUCAUGAUGAUCAUAAGGGUUAUGAUGAUCAUAAGGGCCAAGGUGAUCACAAGGGUCAUGAUGAUCACAAGGGUCAUGAUGAUCACAAGACCCAUGAUGACCAUAA